rnacentral:lncRNA from 1 species
GAUGCUUAUGCAUGACUUUGAUAAGAUUAAGUGCAUGCUUAACACCUAGGGUGUUACAGCCCUUCCCCCCUUAGGGAAAUCUCGUCCUGAGAUUUUGGGUUACUAACCAUUUCUUAUGAAAUUUUGGAUAAACUGUUUUUAAGUAAUCCUCUGUUUCCCAGGUGGCAUCCCUAUGGUCAUGAUGACUCCACACCACCUUAUAUGUUCUGACAAUUUUGUUUCGGGUUACUCGCUCCUUGGUAUCCACAAUCUCCACUGGCUGCUCUUUAUACUCUAGGUCUGCUUUUAUCUUGAUUCCUCGAGGUUCAAUUCUUUGUUCAGGU